GCUACUAUAGGCUAGCGUCUCUGUGAGCUGCAGAACAUCUCUGCUACUAUAGGCUAGCGUCUCUGUGAGCUGCAGAACAUCUCUGCUACUAUAGGCUAGCGUCUCUGUGAGCUGCAGAACAUCUCUGCUACUAUAGGCUAGUGUCUCUGAGCUGCAGAACAUCUCUGCUACUAUAGGCUAGCGUCUCUGAGCUGCAGAACAUCUCUGCUACUAUAGGCUAGCGUCUCUGAGCUGCAGAACAUCUCUGCUACUAUAGGCUAGCGUCUCUGAGCUGCAGAACAUCUCUGCUACUAUAGGCUAGCGUCUCUGAGCUGCAGAACAUCUCUGCUACUAUAGGCUAGCGUCUCUGUGAGCUGCAGAACAUCUCUGCUACUAUAGGCUAGCGUCUCUGAGCUGCAGAACAUCUCUGCUACUAUAGGCUAGCGUCUCUGAGCUGCAGAACAUCUCUGCUACUAUAGGCUAGUGUCUCUGUGAGCUGCAGAACAUCUCUGCUACUAUAGGCUAGCGUCUCUGUGAGCUGCAGAACAUCUCUGCUACUAUAGGCUAGCGUCUCUGUGAGCUGCAGAACAUCUCUGCUACUAUAGGCUAGCGUCUCUGAGCUGCAGAACAUCUCUGCUACUAUAGGCUAGCGUCUCUGUGAGCUGCAGAACAUCUCUGCUACUAUAGGCUAGCGUCUCUGAGCUGCAGAACAUCUCUGCUACUAUAGGCUAGCGUCUCUGAGCUGCAGAACAUCUCUGCUACUAUAGGCUAGUGUCUCUCUGAGCUGCAGAACAUCUCUGCUACUAUAGGGUAGCGUCUCUGUGAGCUGCAGAACAUCUCUGCUACUAUAGGAGUUAUCGACACACAGACAUGUCUCAACACACAGACGGGAGGACGUGUCUCAACACACAGACGGGAGGACGUGUCUCAACACACAGACGGGAGGACGUGUCUCAACACACAGACGGGAGGACAGGAGGACAUGUCUCAACACAUGACCUAAACAACAAAUAAAACAAAGGGCGGAUGAGUGAAAAUGUUGACAGGUGAUAUGUUACUGUAAUAUGUUGACGGGUGAUAGGUUACUGUAAUAUGUUGACGGGUGAUAGGUUACUGUAAUAUGUUGACGGGUGAUAUGUUACUGUAUUAUGUUGACAGAUGAUAUGUUACUGUAAUAUGUUGACAGGUGAUAGGUUACUGUAAUAUGUUGACAGGUUACUGUAAUAUGUUGACGGGUGAUAUGUUACUGUAAUAUGUUGACGGGUGAUAUGUUACUGCAAUAUGUUGACGGGUGAUAUGUUACUGUAUUAUGUUGACAGAUGAUAUGUUACUGUAAUAUGUUGACAGGUGAUAGGUUACUGUAAUAUGUUGACAGGUGAUAUGUUACUGUAAUAUGUUGACGGUGAUAUGUUACUGUAAUAUGUUGACGGGUGAUAUGUUACUGUAAUAUGUUGACGGGUGAUAUGUUACUGUAAUAUGUUGACGGGUGAUAUGUUACUGUAAUAUGUUGACGGGUGAUAUGUUACUGUAAUAUGUUGACGGGUGAUAUGUUACUGUAAUAUGUUGACGGGUGAUAGGUUACUGUAAUAUGUUGACGGGUGAUAUGUUACUGUAAUAUGUUGACGGGUGAUAUGUUACUGUAAUAUGUUGACGGGUGAUAUGUUACUGUAAUAUGUUGACGGGUGAUAUGUUACUGUAAUAUGUUGACGGGUGAUAUGUUACUGUAAUAUGUUGACGGGUGAUAUGUUACUGUAAUAUGUUGACGGGUGAUAUGUUACUGUAAUAUGUUGACGGGUGAUAGGUUACUGUCAUAUGCUGAUAUUAGUUACUGCAUAUAGGCUAGUAUGUACACAUUCCUUCCAAAGCUAAACACCUUCUGCAGACUACCAUAAUAUAUAGGCCUACUAAAAACAGCCCUGUACCGUAUUUAAUGCAUAUUUACCAUGGAGGGGGAAGGG